AGAGUUUGAUCCUGGCUCAGAAUCAACGCUGGCGGCGUGCCUAACACAUGCAAGUCGCACGAGAAAAUGGAGCAAUCCAUGAGUAAAGUGGCGCACGGGUGAGUAACACGUGAAUGAUCUACCUCCGAGUGGGGAAUAACUGAGAGAAAUCUUAGCUAAUACCGCAUAAUACCCACGGGUCAAAGCAGCAAUGCGCUUGGAGAGGAGUUCGCGGCCGAUUAGUUAGUUGGCGGGGUAAUGGCCCACCAAGACGAUGAUCGGUAUCCGGCCUGAGAGGGCGCACGGACACACUGGAACUGAAACACGGUCCAGACUCCUACGGGAGGCAGCAGUGGGGAAUUUUGCGCAAUGGGGGAAACCCUGACGCAGCAACGCCGCGUGGAGGAUGAAAUCCCUUGGGAUGUAAACUCCUUUCGAUAGGGAAGAUUAUGACGGUACCUAUAGAAGAAGCCCCGGCUAACUUCGUGCCAGCAGCCGCGGUAAUAC
rnacentral:rRNA from 1 species